rnacentral:rRNA from 1 species
GACGAACGCUGGCGGCGUGCUUAACACAUGCAAGUCGAGCGGUACGGCCUCUUCGGGGGUCCCCGAGCGGCGUACGGGUGGGUAACCCGUGGGUGACCUGCCCUCAGCUCUCGGAUAGGCGUGCGAAACUGGGUCUAUUACCGGAUACGACCUUUCCUUCCCUGGGGGUUGGUGGCAAGUUUUUUUGGCUGGGGGUGGGCGCGGGGUCUAACAGCUUGUUGGUGAGGUGAUUGCCUACCAAGGCGGCGGCGGCUAGCCGGCCUGGGGGGGCGGCCGGCCACACUGGGACUGGGGCCCCGGCCAGGCUCCUACGGGAAGGAGGAGGGGGGAAAAUUGCGCAAUGGGCGGAAGGCUGGCGCAGGCAAGGCGGGGGGAGGGUGGCGGCCCUCAGGGUUGUAAAGUCUUUCUACCCCGGCGGAUUUUGACGGUAGCGGGAGAAGAAGCACCGGCUAACUACGUG